UACGUAGGCAGCGAGCGUUGUUCGGAAUUACUGGGCGUAAAGAGUGUGUAGGCGGUGCUCUAAGUCUGUCGUGAAAUCUCCCGGCUUAACCGGGAGGCUGCGGCGGAAACUGGUGUGCUAGAGGGUGGGAGAGGUAAGCGGAAUUCCUGGUGUAGCGGUGAAAUGCGUAGAUAUCAGGAGGAACACCGAUGGCGAAGGCAGGUCUCUGGGCCACUACUGACGCUGAGAAGCGAAAGCAUGGGGAGCGAACAGG
rnacentral:rRNA from 1 species